AGGCGCAAAUGCUAAACGCUGACAUAUUUUGGCGGCAUCGGAGAUCUCUUCAACCAAAUCAGCUGUUCGAGACAUAUGUUGCCAAUUGAUUUAUAUGUAGCCAUGCAUGUGUGCAGCAUCAACAGCUGAUUGAUAAGCCCGCUAGAAAAUGUUAGACUACCAAAUGCACUAUAAAAACUGAAACGACGCUAGUUGUCUUUAAAUAUAUAUGUGUACCCAGCGAAUACAUAAAACCACCUCAGCCAUCAAACUUUGAAUGUGGCUAA